AUGGACAAAGAGAAACAGAAUAUAUCCUGUCUAGCUGACUCAUUAGAGAAGAACCUGAUGCUGGGAAAGAUUGAAGGCCGGAGGAGAAGAGGACAACAGAGGAUGAGAUGGCUGGAUGGCAUCACGGACUCAGCGGACAAAGGUUUGAGCAAGCUCUGGGAGAUGGUGAAGGACAGGGAAGCCUGGUGUGCUGUAGUCCAUGAAGCUGCAAAGAGUCGGACACGACUGAGUGACUGAACAAGAUCAACAACCUGAAGAUCACUCACUUAAGUGAUUAAGUUUACUUGCUUCCUUGAGACCUAGGUAAUAGUGUUGUAGACUCAAGAGGCACCAGCCUCUCAUGUUGGAACCAAACAGGAAAAAAAAUCAGGUACAAUUAAGGAAUUGAAAAUGGCCUACAUGUUUCAGAAACUAAUUCAGUGGCUUCUACUUUGGUUUCUCCCAAGAGAAUAGGAAAGGAUGACUCCCCUACUUUGGGCUCCAUCCAUUUCUCAACAAGCUGCCCUACCAUCUCCACCUCCUCCUACUCUUACAUUUACAGUCACUCCGUUCUGCACCUUCUGAAGAGCAAAUGUGCCAGUGAUCACUCCUCACAAUAAUCCUAGGUGAGAACCUAGGAAACGAUCAAAGACAAGCUAUUGAAAAAAAGCAUUUGGCCCUUGUGCCUUGAGCGUAAAAGCAACUAGUCAAUAAAAGAAGGCACAGGUGGAAAGAAUGUGGAUUC
ensembl:lncRNA